rnacentral:lncRNA from 1 species
UUUAUUUUUAGCAUAUAAAGCAACAAUCAUCUUACGCCUCCAGCCCCCAUAACCACUACCCGAGAAGGGAGUGGGAACAAGAGAGACCCCGGGGACAUCAGAGGAAUAUACAAAAAGGGGACUGGUAGAGUGUAUCGAGGCGGAGGUACCAGCAUUUGUAUUAGAAGCCAUAAUCAAACCAGAUAUUCACACACAAAACCAGAUGUUCACACACAAAACCAGAUACUCACAUACGGAGCCAGAUAAUCACACACAAAGCAUACAGUACUCAAGAUAAGGAAAGAGUUACCCUCCUUCUUCGCGAUCGGAGAAGAUCGACCUUCAAUCAAACAGAGAAAACCCUAGGUACAAAACCCUACGUGCAACCAUCGAAUCCUUACUGGAAGUAUGGUCAGGGAUGUCGGAAAGCCACCCAAAACAUCCACUUAGUGAGAAUCGAGCCACCGGAUAGCAAUAAAACCCUAGG